rnacentral:rRNA from 1 species
UACGGAGGAUGCAAGCGUUAUCCGGAAUGAUUGGGCGUAAAGCGUCCGCAGGUGGCUAUGUAAGUCUGCUGUUAAAGAGUGAGGCUCAACCUCAUAAGAGCAGUGGAAACUACAUGGCUAGAGUGCGUUCGGGGCAGAGGGAAUUCCUGGUGUAGCGGUGAAAUGCGUAGAGAUCAGGAAGAACACCGGUGGCGAAGGCGGCCUGCUGGGCAGUUGCUGACACUGAGGCGCGACAGCGUGGGGAGCGAACAGG